rnacentral:rRNA from 1 species
UACGUAGGCAGCAAGCGUUGUUCGGAAUUACUGGGCGUAAAGAGUGUGUAGGCGGUGCUCUAAGUUCGGUGUGAAAUCUCCCGGCUUAACUGGGAGGGUGCGCCGGAAACUGGAGUGCUCGAGCGUGGGAGAGGAAAGCGGAAUUCCUGGUGUAGCGGUGAAAUGCGUAGAUAUCAAGAGGAACACCUGAGGUGAAGACGGGUUGCUGGGCCAACACUGACGCUGAGGCGCGAAAGCCAGGGGAGCAAACGGG